ACAUAUUUUUACGUCAAUGAUUAUCAAUAGGAGAAAGUCAUCGCUCUGUAAUUGGCCCUUGGACUCCCCUGGCAUCUCGUGUACAGCAUGAAGUUUUCAGCUAUGAAGAUUUCCAGAGACUCCAGAAUUAAAAACAAGCCGUGAUGGAUGAGAACCAAGCUCUGAGGGAAAGCACUGCACGAGCAGCUUCGGAUGACAGCGGCUCACUUCAAGAGCAGGUGAAGCAAGUUGGGACAAUGUUGAAGACGUUUGCUCGCACUGGGCAAUCAGGUGCAGAUCAGACCUUAAUGCUGCGACGUCUUGGAGAGUUUGGCGAUGUUGUGCGUAGCAUGGACAACAACAUGGACACUAUGCUGCAACAUUUCAGUGCCAAUGUGUCUGUUGGAGAGUUAUCCCUGCCAGGGGAUCUGUUACUCCCCCUAGACACCCAGGAAGAUUUGGCGUUGCUUGACAACAGUUUGAGGCAGGAUAAAGAGCUCCAGGAACGAUUUGCGUAAUAACUUCGUAUAGCAUACAUUAUACGAAGUUAUACGAGGCUGGCGGCAAGCC
rnacentral:lncRNA from 1 species